GCGACGGUGGUGUAAUGGCGUAGAGCAUUCCCGCCCGGUUAGAGGGAGGUGCGGGUUCGAGUCCCGCCUGGCGCU
rnacentral:tRNA from 1 species